CAGUCGCCGCGGGAAUACGUAGGGUGCAAGCGUUAAUCGGAAUUACUGGGCGUAAAGCGUGCGCAGGCGGUUUUGUAAGACAGAGGUGAAAUCCCCGGGCUCAACCUGGGAACUGCCUUUGUGACUGCAAGGCUGGAGUGCGGCAGAGGGGGAUGGAAUUCCGCGUGUAGCAGUGAAAUGCGUAGAUAUGCGGAGGAACACCGAUGGCGAAGGCAAUCCCCUGGGCCUGCACUGACGCUCAUGCACGAAAGCGUGGGGAGCAAACAGGAUUAGAUACCCCUGUAGUCCCUGUCUCUUAUAC
rnacentral:rRNA from 1 species